UGUUGGGUCUUGUGAUCAUUCAAGAGGCAACUUCACAUGGAGAUCGAGCACCCUCUUAAUUUCCAGAAUUGCUAUUGAUGAAGCAACUUUUGCUCUUGAUGACCUUGCUUAUAUCGAUCAAAGCCUCUCCUACGGUUGUAGGAUUAAGAGUAAAGCCUCCCACUCCUCACUCAUAUUGCUUGCAAAAAUAUACCCUUUGAUUUUGAUCUUAGGAGAAGUUCAAUGGGUUUCUUUCACUUUGGAAUUUGGCUGUGAAAACCCAUCAACUGAGGAUUGGAUUGGAUUAUCCAUGUUCUCCUGCUAAUUUUAGUGCUUCGACCUGCCCUGAGGGAAAUCUAAGAGUUUGUGCUCUAUUUUUGUGUUAUGCACCUAUUAAGUUUCAUUGUCCAGUCCUGAGUACAAGGACACCAGAAAAGGCUUCUUGAAGCUUCAGCUGAUAAACCAGAGAUCAGACUUCUCUUAUGCACUAUUUUCUGGUGGUUUACUGAAUGUAUGCUAAUACUUGGCCAGUACUAUGCUAAAGGUGAUUCGUGGCGUUUACCAGAUGGAGCUUAUGAGACAAGGCUAUGCUUGUCAACUGCUUUCUUGACAACAUCGAACACUCCCCUACUAUAACCAUCACUGAUUCUUAAAUGUUAACACUCGAUCCCUCUCACCCAAAUGAGAAAACUUGUAUCCAUUUCAAUCUAAGCUUUGAUCAAGACAAACACGACAGUAAUGAUCGAAGCAAUAUCUUAUCUUAGUUGGCUGCAGUAUCAAUUGUGAAAAACAAAAAGAAUUUAAGACUCGAACUUGGAAUCCAAAUAAUCCUAGAGAAAG